AAUCAACGCUGGCGGCGUGCCUCAGACAUGCAAGUCGAACGAUUAAAGCUCUCUUCGGAGAGUGCAUAGAGUGGCGCACGGGUGAGUAACACGUAAGUAAUCUACCUUCGAGUGGGGAAUAACGUCCGGAAACAGACGCUAAUACCGCAUAAUGCAGCGGCAUCGCAAGAUGACAGUUGUUAAAGAUUUAUCGCUUGAAGAGGAGCUUGCGGCAGAUUAGCUAGUUGGUAAGGUAAUGGCUUACCAAGGCUACGAUCUGUAACAGGUCUUAGAGGACGGUCGGUCACACUGACACUGAAUAACGGGUCAGACUCCUACGGGAGGCAGCAGUCGGGAAUUUUGGGCAAUGGGCGAAAGCCUGACCCAGCAACGCCGCGUGAAGGAUGAAGUAUUUCGGUAUGUAAACUUCGAAAGAAUGGGAAGAAUAAAUGACGGUACCAUUUAUAAGGUCCGGCUAACUACGUGCCAGCCGCCGCCGUAACAC
rnacentral:rRNA from 1 species